rnacentral:rRNA from 1 species
CAAUAGCGUAUAUUUAAGUUGCUGCAGUUAAAAAGCUCGUAGUUGGAUUUCGGGUGGGAAUGGCCGGUCCGCCGUUUCGGUGUGCACUUGCUACGCCCACCUUGCUGCCGGGGACGUGCUCUUGAGUUCACGCUCGGGACACGGAGUCGGCGAGGUUACUUUGAGUAAAUUAGAGUGUUCAAAGCAGGCCUACGUUCUGAAUACAUUAGCAUGGAAUAACACGAUAGGACUCUGGCCUAUCUUGUUGGUCUGUAGGACCGGAGUAAUGAUUAAGAGGGACAGUCGGGGGCAUUCGUAUUUCAUUGUCAGAGGUGAAAUUCUUGGAUUUAUGAAAGACGAACUACUGCGAAAGCAUUUGCCAAGGAUGUUUUCAUUGA